rnacentral:rRNA from 1 species
UACAGAGGUCCCAAGCGUUGUUCGGAUUUACUGGGCGUAAAGGGUGCGUAGGCGGUCGGACAAGUCUGAUGUGAAAUCUCCAGGCUCAACUUGGAAAAGGCAUUAGAAACUGUCUGGCUAGAGGGUUGGAGGGGGGACUGGAAUUCUCGGUGUAGCAGUGAAAUGCGUAGAUAUCGAGAGGAACACCAGUGGCGAAGGCGAGUCCCUGGACAACUCCUGACGCUGAGGCACGGAAGCUAGGGGAUCAAACAGG